rnacentral:lncRNA from 1 species
ACCUAUUUUUUUUAUUUUGAUGCGGAAAUUUUUUAUAAAUGAUGGUUAUGGAAAAAAAUGUUUGAUAGUCUUUGAGCAGUAUGCACAAUCCAAAAGGUUGAGAACUGCUGCUCUACAGGAAUAUAAUUUAUUCAAUUAUAGUAACACAAAAUUUCUGAAGAUUACUGUUUGCAUAGAAUUCCUGGCUGUGGAUGGGACAAUCAGUGCAAACAUAGAAGGGCAAGUCAAGCUUGGAAUACCCAGUCAUAUUUAUUGUAAUUUCCAAUAUAAUCUUUUAAUACCUUUAAAUGAAAUUUAAAGGUAUUAAAAGAUUAUAUUGAAUGAAAUUUAACACUAAAGUUGGGUAUUGAAUAUGACUUUGAUUAUACAACAAUUAAACAUAUAAUUUCAAUCAUUUAAAAAUGGCAGAUCUCAAACUUCUGAGAUCUCAAUCUAAUAAUUUUAAACUGUUUAAUAAAUUUUAUAAAAAUUUAUCAGAGGUAGUUUUUUAUGACAUAUAUUUUAAUUUCAGAUUCUUAAUCAUUCCAAAUUUGC